rnacentral:rRNA from 1 species
CCUACGGGAGGCAGCAGUAGGGAAUCUUCCACAAUGGGCGAAAGCCUGAUGGAGCAACGCCGCGUGGGUGAAGAAGGUCUUCGGAUCGUAAAACCCUGUUGUUAGAGAAGAAAGUGCGUGAGAGUAACUGUUCACGUUUCGACGGUAUCUAACCAGAAAGCCACGGCUAACUACGUGCCAGCAGCCGCGGCAAUACGUAGGUGGCAAGAGUUAUCCGGAUUUAUUGGGCGUAAAGGGAACGCAGGGGGCAUGUUAAGUCUGAUGUGAAAGCCUUGGGCUUAACCGUAGGAGUGCAUUGGAUACUGGGCGACUGGAGUGCAGAAGAGGAGAGUGGAACUCCAUGUGUAGCGGUGAAAUGCGUAGAUAUAAGGAAGAACACCAGUGGCGAAAGCGGCUUUCUGGUCUGUAACUGACGCUGAGGUUCGAAAGCGUGGGUAGCAAACAGGAUUAGAUACCCCAGUAGUC